rnacentral:rRNA from 1 species
UUGGAGGGCAAGUCUGGUGCCAGCAGCCGCGGUAAUUCCAGCUCCAAUAGCGUAUAUUAAAGUUGUUGCAGUUAAAAAGCUCGUAGUUGAAUUUCGAGACCGGCUUACUGGUCGUGCUAUUGUACGUACUGGUAUAAUCGGUUUCUCCUUUCUGACGAACUAUAAUGCCAUUAAUUUGGUGUUAUAGGGAAUCAGGACUGUUACUUUGAAAAAAUUAGAGUGUUUAAAGCAGGCUCACGCUUGAAUACAUUAGCAUGGAAUAACGGAAUAGGACGUUUGAUUCUAUUUUGUUGGUUUCUAGGAUCGACGUAAUGAUUAAUAGGGAUAGUUGGGGGCAUUAGUAUUCAAUUGUCAGAGGUGAAAUUCUUGGAUUUAUUGAAGACUAACUGCUGCGAAAGCAUUUGCCAAGGAUGUUUUCAUUAAUCAAGAACGAAAGUUAGGGGAUCGAAGACGAUCAGAUACCGUCGUAGUCUUAACCAUAAACUAUGCCGACUAGGGAUCGGAUGAUGUUAAUUUUUUAAUGACUCAUUCGGCGCCUUACGGGAAAC